UACGUAGGGUCCGAGCGUUGUCCGGAAUUAUUGGGCGUAAAGAGCUCGUAGGCGGUUUGUCGCGUCUGCUGUGAAAUCCCGAGGCUCAACCUCGGGCCUGCAGUGGGUACGGGCAGACUUGAGUGCGGUAGGGGAGAAUGGAAUUCCUGGUGUAGCGGUGAAAUGCGCAGAUAUCAGGAGGAACACCGAUGGCGAAGGCAGGUCUCUGGGCCACUACUGACGCUGAGAAGCGAAAGCGUGGGGAGCGAACAGG
rnacentral:rRNA from 1 species